GGGGAUGCUUGGUUUCGAUGGAGAAGAUCUUUUUAAAACGUCAAAUCAAGUGGGCAAGACCACUUGUAAAUCUCUUCUUGCAACUCGAUAAAUGCAAACAUUAUCACUAAGGUGAAAGACAAAGCUAAGGCUUUUGCUUCAGCUUUCAGUCUGCAACCUGUUACCGCUGCUGUCUAAUUUUCAGUAGCCAUCCAUGACUUGCCGCUAGGGGUGGGUCAAAUGGGUGCCAUUUUUUCCUAGCUGCGGGGUAGUAGUUCCUUGAUUCUACCUUCAAGUUUGCCAAGGAUAUAGCCAGUGAGCUUUUGUCUGUUUCUAUUCACUGGCCAAACAAAUCUAAACAGACUAAGUUUGUAUCACGUUUUUCAAAUUCUUUUUCAGACGCGGGUUCGAUUCCCGCCAUCUCCACUG
rnacentral:tmRNA from 1 species